GUAUAUGAAAGUAUAAAAAAAGAAUGUUACUUCGGAAUGACUAUAAACAUUAAAAAAAAGACUGAAAACAUAC
rfam:Callithrix jacchus chromosome 17, whole genome shotgun sequence